GUGCAUCGUCGGGUUGUUGGUCAAACCCAGCGGACUGUAACUCCGCCACGAAAGUUAUCUGUGUUCGAAUCACAGGGUGCACACCA
rnacentral:tRNA from 1 species